GACGUAGGGCGCGAGCGUUGUCCGGAUUUAUUGGGCGUAAAGAGCUCGUAGGCGGCUUGUCGCGUCGAAUGUGAAAACUCGGGGCUCAACUCCGAGCUUGCAUUCGAUACGGGCAGGCUAGAGUUCGGUAGGGGAGACUGGAAUUCCUGGUGUAGCGGUGAAAUGCGCAGAUAUCAGGAGGAACACCGGUGGCGAAGGCGGGUCUCUGGGCCGAUAUCGCGCUGAGACGAGAAGCGUGGGGAGCGAACAGG
rnacentral:rRNA from 1 species